UCUAGGCACCGGGGCGGCAGAUACUUGCUGAACCCCGUCAGGACCGAGAGGUAGCAGCGGUAGGUGAGUUCCUCUGGGUGUUCCUGGUGUCUACCACU
rnacentral:SRP_RNA from 1 species